CUCGUAGGCGGUUCGUCGCGUCCGGUGUGAAAGUCCAUCGCUUAACGGUGGAUCCGCGCCGGGUACGGGCGGGCUUGAGUGCGGUAGGGGAGACUGGAAUUCCCGGUGUAACGGUGGAAUGUGUAGAUAUCGGGAAGAACACCAAUGGCGAAGGCAGGUCUCUGGACUGUAACUGACGCUGAGGCGCGAAAGUGUGGGGAGCAAACA
rnacentral:rRNA from 1 species